GCACAAAUUCAAAAAAGGCGGGAAAACAUAAAAAUGCAAAAUGAAUAAAAUAACACUAACCAAGAAAAAACUUGUAAGACCAUUGUAUUAUCUCUUCCACUUGUCC
rnacentral:ribozyme from 14 species